rfam:Schistosoma rodhaini strain Burundi genome assembly, scaffold: SROB_scaffold0014081
GCGCUGCUGAAGGGUUCACAAUAGGACGAAACGGCCGUCCAGUGC